GUGGGGAAUAUUCCGCAAUGGACGAAAGUCUGACGGAGCAACGCCGCGUGAGUGAUGAAGGUUUUCGGACUGUAAAGCUCUGUUGUUUAGGACGAAAGUGCCUGUUGCGAACAGUUACAGGUAUUGACGGUACUGAACGAGGAAGCCACGGCUAACUACGUGCCAGCAGCCGCGGUAAUACGUAGGUGGCAAGCGUUGUCCGGAAUUAUUGGGCGUAAAGAGCAUGUAGGCGGGAAUCUAAGUCUGUUGUGAAAAUGCGGGGCUCAACCCCGUAUGGCGAUUGAAACUGGAUUUCUUGAGUGCAGGAGAGGAAAGGGGAAUUCCCAGUGUAGCGGUGAAAUGCGUAGAUAUUGGGAGGAACACCAGUGGCGAAGGCGCCUUUCUGGACUGUGUCUGACGCUGAGAUGCGAAAGCCAGGGUAGCGAACGGGAUUAGAUACCCCGGUAGUCC
rnacentral:rRNA from 1 species